rnacentral:rRNA from 1 species
GACGAACGCUGGCGGCGUGCCUAAUACAUGCAAGUCGAACGAACCGCGACUAGGUGCUUGCACUUGGUCAAGGUGAGUGGCGAACGGGUGAGUAACACGUGGGUAACCUACCGCAUAGUGGGGGAUAACAGUCGGAAACGACUGCUAAUACCGUAUAGGACAUAGGAUCACAUGAUUCUGUGAGGAAAGGUGGCGCAAGCUAUCGCUAAGAGAUGGACCCGCGGUGCAUUAGCUAGUUGGUAGGGUAAAGGCCUACCAAGGCGAUGAUGCAUAGCCGACCUGAGAGGGUGAUCGGCCACAUUGGGACUGAGACACGGCCCAAACUCCUACGGGAGGCAGCAGUAGGGAAUCUUCCGCAAUGGACGAAAGUCUGACGGAGCAACGCCGCGUGAGUGAAGAAGGUCUUCGGAUCGUAAAGCUCUGUUGUGAGAGAAGAACAGAGCAUAGAGUAACUGUUAUGCGUGUGACGGUAUCUAACCAGAAAGCCACGGCUAACUACGUG